rnacentral:rRNA from 1 species
CUUGCGUAGGCCCCGUGGCGUAGCGAAAGCAAAGUCGUGAAGGGGGUAGACUGUACCCUCCCCAACGACGRCCCGGCGGAGUCGGUCGGACGCGUCCGGAAGCCCUUCGGGGUUAGCCGCCGUCCGACUCGUCGGAGUCGGAGCAUGCGAGUUGGUACCCGAAAGAUGGUGAACUAUGCCCCGUCAGGGCGAAGCCGGAGGAAACUCCGGUGGAGGCCCGAAGCGGUUCUGACGUGCAAAUCGAUCGUCGGAGCGAGGUAUAGGGGCGAAAGACUAAUCGAACCGUCUAGUAGCUGGUUCCCUCCGAAGUUUCCCUCAGGAUAGCUGGCAUUCGAGAAACUCAGUCUCUCCUCGUAGAGAGAAUGAUUAGAGGCCCCGGGGCCCUAGACGACCUCGACCUAUUAUCAAACUGCUACGAGGUGCGUCGGCGUGACUUGCUGAAUUGAAGAAACGCUA